AGUGAGAAUGAUGAGGUGCACUUUUGGUGGUGCUGAGUGUCAGGUGACACAGGCACCACUCAGAGCCUUCCUGAUGACAAAUCCAGGUGCACAGGGGCCAUCUGACUCACU
rnacentral:snoRNA from 1 species